CGGUGGAGCAUGUGGUUUAAUUCGAAGACAACCGGACGAAGAACCUUUACCAGGUCUUGACAUCCCGAUGCUAUUCUAGAGAUAGAAGUUACUUCGGUACAUCGGUGACAGGUGGUGCAUGGUUGUCGUCAGCUCGUGUCGUGAGAUGUUGGGUUAAGUCCCGCAACGAGCGCAACCCCUAUUGUUAGUUGCCAUCAUUCAGUUGGGCACUCUAGCGAGACUGCCGGUAAUAAACCGGAGGAAGGUGGGGAUGACGUCAAAUCAUCAUGCCCCUUAUGACCUGGGCUACACACGUGCUACAAUGGUUGGUACAACGAGUUGCGAGUCGGUGACGGCGAGCUAAUCUCUUAAAGCCAAUCUCAGUUCGGAUUGUAGGCUGCAACUCGCCUACAUGAAGUCGGAAUCGCUAGUAAUCGCGGAUCAGCACGCCGCGGUGAAUACGUUCCCGGGCCUU
rnacentral:rRNA from 1 species